GCCUAGAUAGCUCAGUUGGGAGAGCGUUAGACUGAAGAUCUCAAGGUCCCCGGUUCAAUCCGGGUCUGGGCA
rnacentral:tRNA from 1 species